AUCUAGUCUAUUGGGGAAUGCCCUUGUUUUCAAUUGGGCUUCAAUUGCUGACGUGGCUCGCUUUCAUUGGUUGAUUGGUGAUCGUUCGGCCCGUGGGAAUUCUCAAUUGAUGGUCGUCCAGCCCGUUUGCCAAUUGGACGUCUGCCUUUUUGUUUGCUUGGACUGGUAAACCGACGGCAGCUUCUCUUCUUUCUUCUUUCUCUGUCUUUCAAAACAUAGCAGCAUCAAUCGAUGUCAAGAGCUUUUCUUUGCUUUUGUCCUCUGGACAAAACUCCAUUUUUUUUAUGAGACCCAGAGGUCUCCCCUCAAUUUCUGGCAUUUGAUUGUACUUGGAAGAGAUUGUAAUCUCAAUUGGAGGGUCCGGAUUUUUCCUUCUGCAGAGUGGUUGCUUAGGAUUUGAUGGACGAUGGGCUCGAGACAGAAAAGGGCUGUAAGGACGGGGAAGGUCAAUAUUUCAUCUCCACUAUCUGAUGUGAAUUUCUAGAAUGCAGAUAUAUGUUCGGAGUAAAAAUGGCCACUUGUGAAAAACAACUGGUGAGUGAAAAUGAAGGAAUAUGAAAACUUGAAGUUGACAUCUCUAAGAAGUAGUUAAAGCUGCAGGAAAUGACCAUACAUUGGGUUUUGUUACUGGUGGGUCUGCUCAUGUGCAAAUGCAACUUAGCACCAAAGAGUGUGAGAGUCUGGGAUUAACUGGUCUGGCUCUCUGCUUAGACUGCAACACCUUUGCUGAGUAUGUCAAGGACCAAGGUUGUACCUUUUUUAUUAUAUGAAUUUUGUUGAUCCUCAGAUAUUUAUGGUUUUUGGUGGAUUUUACUUCUGGGUUUUGAUGGGUUUUUUGAAUUGAUUACUUGCUGGUAAGUACAUGGGUUGUAAAAUGGUAAUAUUUGGGAUUCUUGUUUCUGUACUAUAGCUGAUUGGUUGUCAAAAUUAACGAAUAGUGGGAGAUAGAUGCAAUUCUUAUUGCUUUUAGUUGAUUUAAGGUCUGGGUUUUUUUUUGUUUGGAUUUAUGAAUUGCUUAUUUAUAUGUGAGAUGUCAAUGGUGAUAAUUUGGAAGGAGAACUUGAAAAAGGCUAUGUUUUUAUACAAAUCAGAUCGAGAGACUAUGCUUAUAACAGUAAAUAAGUGUAUUUUGACUUUUGUUGUUUUCACUAUAAUUUUUUGUGAUUAAGUUUUGUCAAAAUAUGGAUGGGUAAAUAGUAUUUUGGAAGAUUUCUCUUUUUUCUUUUUGUGCCUCAGAUAGCUUAAGGAUAAUCGCAUAAAUCGAAAUAAGAUCCUCAUUGGGAUUCUUAAAUUAUCUCAUGCAAUUAGUGGCGUUAAAUUGUAAUCUGUAGAAUUCCAAGUAACUAGCCUGGAUUAUGGUAAUGGUUCAGUUUUGUUGCUCUUGAGGAUUAUGGUAAUUGCACCUGAGCUGACGAUGAUCAAGACAUGCAAGAACAAUAGUUCUACGAUCAUGAUUUCCUAAGUUAUGACUUGUAGUUCAUUAUAUUUGAUGAUUAGGACCAUACGCAUUAAAUUGGAAUAUUCUAUUGGCAUCCUUUAUUGUACCAAAUGAAGUACUAUCAAGACAAAUUCUGAAUGGAAAUAUGUCAUUUUUUGAAACCUAUACCGGAGAACCCUUAUUCUUCAACCCUUUUACAUCCAUUCUGGUGAAUUUGAAAAAUUUAAAUAGCUGAAACUUGUGUAAAAGAAUUCAUCAAUUAUAUAAUGACUUAGAUUUGUUAAAGAAUUUUGGAUUGUAAGAUUACAAUAAACUUUUUGAACAUUCUGCAAUAAUUUACUUAAGAGGAAGAAAAUUGCUCAUGUCAUCAAGAAAUCCUAGAUGUUUGACAAGAUCUGCAUUUAACAUAUCCAGUUUAGAUGGCAACUUAUAUAGAUUUCUGUAUAAUAUUGGAAUGAUCUUUUUGAGCAUUCCGCAAAUAAUAUACUCAAGUAGAAUAUGAUAAUCUGGAAAACCCGAUGUUUGAAAAGACUCCGGAUGCAGUUUAGAUUUGUCAGUGCCUCUCAGAAAUCUGCCCCUUGGCUUUACCUUAGGCUUAGAGAUGGCUUGCUGGAUUGGUCUAUUUUUAUCUAUUGAUUUUCAUUGUGAAUUUUUGUGUCCAAAGCUUGGUUUUGACUUUCUUGGUUUUGCAUCUGCAUCACCACAUGAAGCUGCAGCCGGGGAAAACUUCAUUGACAGAGUUUUCAUUAUGGGUCUAUAGAGACUGCAUUUUGGAAAUCUCUUUUGUAUGUGGAUAGGAUUAUAUGUUAUUUUAAAGUUUCUUUUAUGCAAAAAAAAAAGGAAAAAGAAAAAGAAAAAAAGAUGUUAAAUUUGUUGUAUGUUGUUGACGUAAAACAUAUCUUGCAUCUGCAAUAUUUUCAUUGUGUAAUUAUUUGAUUUGGUUUUUCAAAACUCUUUCAUUGUCGUAAUAAGAUUUUAGACACGAGAUAAUGGCUUGUUUCUCUUAUCAGUUAUAUGUAGAUCUUUAGUCCAUAUUAUGUUGAAUCCUGUAUCUCUUGCUAUUAUGUAGUCAUCUUUAUCGUGUUGAAUCCUAUUUCUCUUGCUAUUAUGUGGUCGUUUCUAUAUUUUACAAUUAAAUAGGCUUCUUAUCCGACAUAUUUGAGUAUUGCUCUCAAAAAGUUGAGCUUCCUCUUGAAUUUGUUCAUGAGUGGCACAUUUUUUAUGCACAUCAAAUCAUGGCAAAUACAGUUAGUCGAUGCAAGAUGACGUUACAUGGUAUAUAUUACUUUGAAAUUUAUGACAUUGCCAAUCCUAUUCAAUUAGUAGGUAAAGCAAAAAAUGACUUUUCGUCACUUAGUCACUAAGUUAAAAUUAUGGCUUAUUUUCGCUGCUUAAUAAAAUUACAAAAACCUAAUCCUAAAGAUUUUGGUGCACCUUUAUAUAACUUUUCAUGCUUAUUAUCUAAAUUUGAAUAAUUGGACAUUUUUGGGCAAGUCUAAAAGUUACACUGCGCAUCGCGCGGUGUUAUCCUCCUAGUCUCAACAUAACAUACAAUGAACCAAAGAGUACACCAAAGAGGGUUACUGUUCACUUUUCGUCGUCAUCACGUGCUGCUCACGUGAGUUAUCUAAAUUGGUUCUUCUCGGUGCUCCAACAUCGCCCAUGGAUUUCUGAUGGGAUCAGAGGCUCAUGUGAUUUUCUUUCUUCUUUCGUCUCUCGCUGCUGCGAUGUCUUGAGCUACCCGAAGAACCUUGCCUAAAAUGAUGAUUGGCCCGAUUUACCAUCUUUAUCUGCUGGAUAUUGGCAAUGAAUGCUGCUCUAAAUUUCAACAUAACAUAUUUUCGCUUCCUACCGGCUCGGAGAUCUUCACCCUUUCUUCACCUUGGUUUUCAGAUUGGUUUCUCUUUCUAGGGUUUUCACAUUUUUUUUCUGUCUAGCUUCUCUUUUCUCCCCAUCCUUUCCUUGCAGGCUCUAAUUGUGGCUUCCUUUCUUGCGUACUUCCAUCUUCUACCCUAAAACCUCAACCCUUCUUAUUGUGAUAUCAUUAUGUGAUGAUAUUAUUAUUCGAUUUUGGGGGUGUUCAUAUGUGAUUUUUGGGGGUUGUUCUUUGUUUUUCAUUUCCUAUUCUUUUGGUUUUGGGUGUUUGUGUCUUUUUAUUUCCUUGAUUUUUCAUGUAUCUGCUUUUCCACUUUUAGUAGGUUUCCCUAUAUUUGGAUUUGGCCAUUGCUCUAUCUACAUGAAACUUAGGCGUAUGGAAUUAUUAUGUGAUUUUUAGGGAUUGUUUCUUGUUUUUCCAUUUCCUUUUCUUUUGCUUCUGGAUGUUUGCUUGUAUCUUUUUACUUGCUUUCGUCUUUUCUUUAUUUUGUCCUGGUUACUAUCAGUUUGCUUCAAGUAGAAUGGGUUCUCAGAGCUGCACCGCCUCCGUAGCUGACCACACACAAGGAGAAAUAAUUGCAGGAACAAAACAACUUCUUGUCAAAGCAGGCAAAUGGACCCUUAGGCAAAGUGGAUGGAGGAGAUGGUGGUGAUGCGAACUUGUUCAUACCAUCUUGGCUGGUUUAUCUCAUGAGUAAAUAAUGACUAAGGAGGGGAAACUUCUUUUUGCUUUCAAGCCAGAAAAGUUACUUGUCAAAAUAAUUAUGUUUUUAAUUUUUUUUUAUUCAGUGCCAAACAUGCCUAUCUUAAUGAGGUAGGUAUUAUGUGCAUGAUACUAUGUAUUUCAUGUUUGCGAUCGUUGAUAAGAAAAUACUUGACACUUUCAUAUAGUACUUUAAUACCAAAAGAAAAAGAAAGUGUCUUAUGUGAGUUCUGUUUUUGGCUGGUGUGUAAGUCUUAUUUCAAGGCCAACAUAUGAGGCUGUUUAUUUGUAUGUUUCAUUCGAAAGCUUACUUCUGCAUUUUGGUUGAUGGCCUUGGAGUAAAGCAAAUACAUGGAUUUCUUUCUGAAGACUUUUAUUCAAAGAAAAACUAGGAGCAGUGAGUUCUUGCUAUGUAUGUGUGUUCGUUAUUUACUUAAAGCAUUUGGAUUAAUAGUGAGUAUUUUACACAUUGAAUUCAGAACUCCCAUGUAACAUUUUUAUGUCAAUUUUAGUUCUGGUGCUAUGUCAACCUUGAUUUGAUAUGUGAAGCCCAUGCCCAGACCUAUGUAAUGACCAAAGUCAUGAAAUUGAUGCAAAAUAGGUAAAAAGGGGAACUAAAUGAGUUGAAGAGAUGUGAGAGUUUGGUCUAUAAUGGAUUGGAAGAAGUAUAAGGAGGCAAGUGAAAGGAACAGGGGUUAUUGGCUUGAGGAUGCAGUGGAAAUCUCAUGUAGUAAGAGCUUUAGUUAUUAGUAUAGAUUCUAUUUAAUAGGAACUUCGGUCGGUUAUUGAAAUUAAUGACCUUACAAGGAUAAAAUGGUAUCCUUUGCAAACUUAUCUUAACAGAUUUAUAAAUAUGUCUUCACAGUUUUUCGUCUCAAUUAUGUGCUUGCCUUUUUUUUUUAUGGGUUAAAAAGAACCAUUCCCGAGAGGGGGAAAGAAUGAUCGAUGCCUUGUAUAUUUUGCAAAGAAAGACACUGGGACUUGCAUUUUGAUAUGUCAUAUGAAUGAUUUAGCAGUCAUUUAUUGUGCUGCUUCUUGUUGUUUCAUUUUGCUUACAUGAGGUUUGCCCUAUGCAACUACCAUGAUAAUCCUGCAGAGCUGUCUAAUGAGUUAUCCAGGUCCAUUUGUGCUCCUUCCAUCCAUUGCUAAUAUUUGCCAUUCAUUUAACAGGUUAGCAAAUUUGAUAUAUAGUUAAUCUUUUUCUACAAUUUCUUGGCUAUUUGGACAAUCUGUUCUGCUUCUUUUCUUUUUAUUUGAAGAAUUUAUUUUUCAGUAAUUUUAUUACUGUAUGCUGUUUGGAUUUUAUUUUGUAAUUUUGGCUAUCAAAAAUAGUUUUUAAGUAGUAAUUGUUUUUGCUUCUUUUGCUCAAGCAUCAUUACACUGAGAGGGUUAAGCAUCGUUUGUUAUUUUCUAUAAGGUUCUGAUGGUAGCUUACUUGGAUCUAUUUGUAAUUGUUUUUGAAUUUCUUUAUGUUGCAUUCUGUCCUGGGGAAUUCAUACACUAUAUAUACCUGUCCUAGAAGAUUAUUUCUUGAAUUUUCGUCUUCCUCUAUUUUGCAACAUAAUUACUUUAUAUUCUUAUGUCUUGUAGAAAAUUCCGGAUCACACUGAUUAAAAAUUAGUUGAGCAUCGGACUCCGGUCAUUGUUCUUACAAGCGGAACUAGAGUUUACAGUAUUGGAAACAGGAAAAGAUAGAUUUCAUUGGAAAUGUAGCGACUUUGUUGCAGAUCAUAACCUCCAAGAAGGAGACGUUCUACUAUUUCUUCCUGAAUCUCACACUUUGUUUGCUUUGUUAAUCUUUGAAACCAAUGGAGUAGAAAUUAUUUACCCCUGGCAUCACACGUUCAUGAUUUAAUUAAAUAUUAUGUUCGUAGAUUCUGCAUUAUCAAUGAAA